rnacentral:rRNA from 1 species
UGUUUUACUGGGGCGGUAGCUCACUAAAAAGUAACGUGAGCAAGCAAAGAUUAUUAACUAAACCUCAACUGGACAGAAUUAUGUUUGACUGCAAGAAUCACAAUUCAAGCAGGUGCUUUACAGUUUUAAUUAAAAUAAAAGCAGGCAGUAUUGAACCAUUUUGAUCUUAUUUUAUUGAAGACAAAAUGUUUAACGGAUAAAAGCUACGCCGGGGAUAACAGGCUCGUCUGCGCCAAGAGUUCAUAUCGACGCGCAGGUUCGGCACCUCGAUGUUGAAUCAUCGCAUCCUAAGGCUGUACAAGGUCUUAAGGGUUGGGCUGUUCGCCCAUUAAAGUGGUACGUGAGCUGGGUUCAAAACGUCGUGAGACAGUUUGGUCCAUAUCCGGUUUAGGCGUUAGAGCAUUGAGAGGAGCCUUCGAUAGUACGAGAGGAUUUUCGAAAGGUAAGCCAAUAGUGUAUCGGUUAUUUUUCCAAAAGUAAACGCCGAGUAGCCAUGCUUAUAGGGAUAACUGCUGAAAGCAUCUAAGUAGGAAACCCACCUCAAGAUGAGUGCUCUCCAUUAGAUCGCGGCAAGACAAGCCGUUUAAUAGGCAUUAGGUGUACAAUCAGUAAUGGUUUUAGCCGAGAUGUACUAAAGAUCGAUUGAUUU